AUUGCUUUUGUGACAUCUGUGAGAAACUCCUAACAAAGCUGAUAAUGAAAAUGUUAUCAACUAUUUAGGUACAAUCAGUCCAUAUUACAAAGUUUAUUAACUGCAGGUGAAACAAACAGCAACUGGACACAGUGGUAGGUGAUUCUGAAGGUUUAAUUUUUUAGAGCUGAGAAACAAAACUGUGCUAAGUAUGCGUGGUCUGAAAAAAAGCAAGCUUUUCAGGAAAAAUACACCUGGAUACCAAAGACAUCUGAGAUGACCCCACAAAGGUACAAGGGAUUUUGAAGGUCUGUUACAGAAACUAUUUUUAAUAGUUUAAUAGAGGAAGAAAUAAAAAGAAACAUUCACUUCAGGUACAACCUUUACUCCAUUGCUUAUGUGUCAUUUAUGCCUAUUGGAUUGAGUUGCAGACACAUGCAGUAGGAAUGAAUAAAUCCUGAAAGUCAGCUUAUCAAAAAUAGAUUGCCAAGUCAUGAUUUCCGCUUUCCUCAGUUCAAGUGGAUUGCCAAGUAUCCCCUGGGUUUUUACUGAAAUUUGGAGAAGAACCUUCUGAGGAAUAACUGACCUGACAGAGAAGACUUUAGAGGAGGCUGGAAGACAAGGAGUAUUUUGAAGAUGGAUUCUGAUAGAAAAUCCCUGAAGACAGCUGGCUUAAAAGGUGAAGUAUGGUCAGCAUUUUUCUCCACAACAGGAUGCUGCUGCGUGCACCAACUGGCACACCACUUCCUUUAUCCUGACAGCUGCUGGAUGCUGAUAUGGAUACAUAUUUAACAUUUUCCUCAGUCCAGCAUACUAAUAUUAAGCCUUACUCCGCCUUUUGCUAAAGGUUCAGCAGAGGUAUAUACCUAGAAAUGUUAAAGCUCCUCUUUGAAUCCAGGUUCAGAAGAACAAGCCCAGUCCUGAUGUGAACACAGCAAUGUUUAGAGCGUGCAGUCAUGCCACACUUGCAAUUGUGGGGCUUCUCCACUGACAUGCUGUGGAAAGGAACAGCACAUCGAGCACUGAUGCAAGAGUCAAAUUGGAACUGUUUUCAGGGGAAAAAGUGACUAACAGACCAUGCUUGCGUGACAGGCCACAAGAAACAGGUUUCAUAUGCUGAGACAAGAGGGGAACUCCACCCUGCACCCUGAGCUUCCAGUCUUGGGUCUUGAUCUAAUGGCAAAAGUCCUCAGAGACCCUCUAAGAACUACUUCCUCUUCUCUGGUAAAAUAAAGCUUCUGCUUCUCUCA